GAAACCCGCAACGGCUCUCUCUCCCCAUCCACUGCAGUUCGCAAACGAACCCAGCCAGCCCCAGUAAAGUUCGCGAAAACUUCCUGGCUUCAUCUCUCCCAGUCGCAAGAAGGUCGAACAAGACCCCUCUCUCUGUUCGCAGACCUCCAGGCGCGAAAUCCCCCUGUCCCCUUUCAGUUCGUGAUUCCCACUUCCUCUCGAUAGUUCAAAAUCCCCAGGCCUCCUUUUCAUUCGCGAACGAGACCUUCUCCCCCUCUCCAUCGCUCUCUGGAUUCACAAGAACAGAACACCCAGGGACCCGGCUUUAACUCUCUGCCCUAACCUUGUCCGUGCCUCCAUCUGUUUCUGAUUUGCUCGGCCAAAGGCAAGAGAAAGUGGUGAACUUCCUCUUCUUCUUGAUUCUUCUUCCACUCUUCUUUGUUCUUUCUUUUAUGAAUAAUCUUGUUGGAUAGUUAGUCUACCAAAUGAGGUUAUUUAGCAAACAUUCAUUCAUUUUACUCUUAAGUUUCUGCACUUGUUUGGGUUGAGUACUAUCCUACUUAUGAAUAUUUAUUCUUCAA